UCUUCCUUCACAAGCCUUGUUGACUAAUCUGUCGAGGUUUUAUGGUCUUCAGUGAAAAGCCAAGAACAUUGGACUAAAGAUCAGAGAUUCUGGACUCAAAUGUCAGCUCUACUACUCUGUGAGCCUGGGGAAGCCACUUGACCUCUUUGGGCCUCACUUUUCUCAUCUGUCAUCUGUUAAAUGGAUGUAGCCAGACCAACUAAAAGGGUAUGUGCAAGGGGCAUAUGAUAUCCUGUAUGUCUCAAAGCAUUUUGUAGAACUUUAGAACAUAGCAUUUUUAUUCAAUAUGAAUUUGGAAAACAACUCCAAGAUAGCCAAGAUAUCUAUUUUUUCUAGAUAAAUAACAAAACACAGAAAACAAAAGGGAAGUGAGAAAUGGAAAAACUGACUUGGCCUCUCUUUCAGAGUGGAGCUGUGACUUGGCUUCCUGUGCCUCCUACCACCUACCUCUUUUUUAUGUUUAAACCUCUGAAACUCAGCAUUUUGGCGUCUGAGAAUGCUGUGGUCUGAAUGUCUGUGCCUCCCCAAAAUUCAUAUGCUGACAACCUACUCACCAAGGUGAGGAGAAUUGGAAGUGACUUUGGGGGGUGAUUAAGUCAUUAGGGUGGAGCCCUCUUGAAUGGGAUUAGUGUCCCUUCUGCCAUGGGAAGACUCAGCAAGAAGAUAUGAUCUUCUGCAGAAGACGCCGUGCUGGCCACUGCCCACUCCUUAACCCUGGACUUCACAGCUCCAGGUCAUGAGACCAUGAGAAAUAAAGUGUGUUGAUUAUAAGACUCGGGAUUAUGAAAUUUUCGUUACAGCAGAGCAGCCUGAAUAUGCAAAGACCAACAAUAUGCUGCAUUUUUCCUAUGAAGACUGUGGCCAGUCUUUGCUGUGAAAAAAUACUCUCUGGUAACUUUUCUGUGGGUCCUCAUCACACAAUUUGCCUCAUGUUGUACUGCGAUGAGGUCAGUGUUUUCUAAUAAUGAGAAAUUCUCCAUCUUCAAGGCCAGUAGCCAGUGCCCAGGGGCUACAGGAAGGACAUGUUGGUUUCAGCUGGUGACAGUCCCAUCCUACGGUAGCAGCUGGCUUGUCGUCUGAAGGAGCCAGGCUCAACAAAAAGAGAACUGUGAGCUCUUUGUGGGAGCCUUUGGGCUGCCCAUGGCCUAUGCUGAGCCCCACCUUUCUGACAUGAGGCCUCCCCAGGGCUCCUUAAGCUUCUAGAUUUUUCUCAGGAUUCCUCUGUGUCUGGUGUUGAAUAUGCUGAAUAUCAAUCUACAAUCAAUACAGUGUUGCCUGGAGGCACCUCUUGCUUCAAAUUUGCUUCACAAAUCUGCUGCAGUGACAGAAAGCUAAGACAGCUGCAGAAAAAGCCAACCCUGCUGAUUCCUUCAUCUUGGACUUGCAGCCUCCAGAACUGUGAGCAAAUGAACAUCUGUUGUUUAAGCCACCCAGUCUGUGGUACUGUGUUAUGGCAGCCCCAGCAAUCUAAUGCAGAGGGGAAAGUGGGUUUGGGUGCAGAAAAAAUUAUAUUUAAACAUCAAAUUGCUUCUAGAAAAAGCCAAAGUAUAAACCAUGAUAAAGGAGAGAGAAGAGAAGGAAGGGGCUUGGCAAGGAUCCGGCAGUGGAAUGGGACAGACUUUCAACACCUUGCCAUGCGAUCUUUCCCCACAAACUCCUGUGUGACCCACAUAUGAAUUCUCACUGAGAGACACAGACUGAAAGAGGCUUGGCCUGAAGAAUUUGCCAGAGGGCACAGGGAGCAUGGCUUAUUUCUUGGGAGAUGACAACAGGUCAAUUUGAUCCUACACUGUAGAAUUUUCUCCAGAUGAAAAGUGAGUUUUUGAACCUGCUAAUAGCAGCACCAUGGAAUGUUUUCAGUUAUUUUCAAUCUCCAUGUUUGACUACUUUAGACCUAGAAACAUCAGUGCUGGUUCCAGUUGGAAAGAAAUAAUGGAAGAGAGAUGUGAAGAUGCCCAGGUACUUGUUACAAAUAAAUUAAAAAUAAAAAAGAAACUGUCAUGUGGCCAGAUGAUCAACAAUAUAAUGGGUAUUUGAUUGAAGCUAGAAAUACUCUAAAUAGAACUGAAGAUUGCCCUUUAAAAAUUGAAAACAAAAACAAACCAAACCUCUCUCAGAUGUCUGCAUCACAUAAACCUAAUAAGACAGAGUAAAAAAUAUUGGAUUUAUUUUUACAAGUUAGCUGUGACCUUCUCAACCUUCUGAAUGGAUUCACUUGGCACGGUUCCUCUUAAGGGCCUUAGGGUUAUGACUAACUCAUAAAAAUAAAUCCAAUAUUUCCCCCUUAGCCAU